GGUAGAGGAAUAAAGAAGAAAGAUAAGAACUCACCACCAAGUCCUCCCAAAAUCAUUUUCAGUGUACUCUUGUUCUUAUUUGGGAUGCUUCUUUGAGCUCUUAUUUCUAGGGGCAUGAUUUUUAUUAUAUCCCAUUAUGAACCUGUAAAACAGUAAAGUGUCUACUAACAUCUACAAAUUGUACUUUAGGGCAAUUUGUUGAAAAAUUGUGACCCAAUUUAAUUUUCUGAUUUGGACCACAUUUAAUAAAAAAACACUUUUAUUUAUUUUUAACUGUGUUUUUCCAGGACCCAUUAGCUCCAAGUCAAGUAGCUGUUUCAAUCUAGUUGUGGAGGGCGCAGUUCACAGUAGCCCACGUGGGGAUUGAACCGGCAACCCUGGUGUUAUGAGCAUCGUGCUCUAACCAACUGAGCAACAGACCACCCCUAAUUUGGACCACUUUUGAAAAGAGGAGAAGAAAAAAAUAUUUAAUGUCUUAGCACAUCAGGCUGACAUACUUGUCCCUGCACACCUGACUAAUCUUUUACGUUUCCUGACAAACAUCGCAGAUCCAGCUCUUGGAGCGUGACCCAGCCGCACUAUGGCAACUCUACAGAGGACACUGAAUGCCUGAUAGGGGUGGAUCGUGCCCGUUGCCCUGAGCAAGCCCCUUCCAGGGGAAGUAAAGGGCAGAUGCCAUCCAAGAACAGCACCUAGCACCACUCCCCAUGCCAGCUCAGCUAGGAACCUAAUGUGGGAGUGCAGUGGGUCAUGGAGGAUGGGAAGCCCAUU